rnacentral:misc_RNA from 1 species
GAUGAAGAACGUAGCGAAAUGCGAUACUUGGUGUGAAUUGCAGAAUCCCGUGAACCAUCGAGUCUUUGAACGCAAGUUGCGCCUCAAGCCAUUAGGUUGAGGGCACGUCUGCCUGGGCGUCACAUAUCGUUGCCUGAUGCCAGUUUCCUCGUGAUGGGUGACUGUGCAGGGCGAAUGAUGGCUUCCCGUGAGCAUUGUUGCCUCAUGGUUGGUUGAAAAUUGAGUCCUUGGUAGGGAGCGCCGUGAUAGAUGGUGGUUGAGUGACGAACGAGACCAAAUCAUGUGAGACCCCUACCGAAUUUGGCCUUCAUGACCCACAUGCGUCUUUGGAACGCUCAUGACGAGACCUCAGGUCAGGCGGGGCUACCCGCUGAGUUUAAGCAUAUCAAUAAGCGGAGGA